rnacentral:rRNA from 1 species
GAGACACACGGCGGGUGCUAACGUCCGUCGUGAAGAGGGAAACAACCCAGACCGCCAGCUAAGGUCCCAAAGUCAUGGUUAAGUGGGAAACGAUGUGGGAAGGCCCAGACAGCCAGGAUGUUGGCUUAGAAGCAGCCAUCAUUUAAAGAAAGCGUAAUAGCUCACUGGUCGAGUCGGCCUGCGCGGAAGAUGUAACGGGGCUAAACCAUGCACCGAAGCUGCGGCAGCGACGCUKAUGCGUUGUUGGGUAGGGGAGCGUUCUGUAAGCCUGYGAAGGUGGCCUGUGAGGGUUGCUGGAGGUAUCAGAAGUGCGAAUGCUGACAUAAGUAACGAUAAAGCGGGUGAAAAGCCCGCUCGCCGGAAGACCAAGGGUUCCUGUCCAACGUUAAUCGGGGCAGGGUGAGUCGACCCCUAAGGCGAGGCCGAAAGGCGUAGUCGAUGGGAAACGGGUUAAUAUUCCCGUACUUGGUGUUACUGCGAAGGGGGGACGGAGAAGGCUAUGUUGGCCGGGCGACGGUUGUCCCG